rnacentral:sRNA from 1 species
UAAAGGUGUUGCUCCAGACAAAAUAAGACGAACUCUACCUCCUAAACCCUCCUUGACCCGAUGAUGAUUAGCAAAGCCGUAAUCCAUGUGUAUGCACAAAACAGUUGUACAUAUUAUCUACCACACCUCACUAAAUUUAGAAUUUUGUACAUAUUAUCCACCACACCUUACUAACUUGUAGAAUUUUGAAAGCCGAUAAAUAAAAGCUCACCAAUUUCGGUAGGGAUUAUGGCUAGGACAUGAGCGUUUCUUUCUUCUAUCAAGGAUGUUUCAGAUGAACUAUCAUUCAACCCCUCAAGUCUCCAAUUUCAGAAUAGUUGUGAGCCACUGAAAGACGAACAAGCUCAGAAUUCGAGGCAACAUCCAAACGACAUUAAGGGCUCCUGUUCUUGAGAUAGUUUAUCGU